GUCUCUUCGGAGACAUUUAAUAAAAUUGGAACGAUAUAGAGAAGAUUAGCGUGGUCCCUGCGCAAGGAUAACAUGCGCAAAUUGAGAAAUGGUCUUUCUCAAU